rnacentral:rRNA from 1 species
UGCGUAGGCGGAUAGAUAAGUCAGAGGUGAAAGCCUCCCGCUCAACGGGAGAACUGCCUUUGAUACUGCUUAUCUUGAAUGAGGUUGAGGUUAGCGGAAUGUGACAUGUAGCGGUGAAAUGCAUAGAUAUGUCAUAGAACACCAAUUGCGUAGGCAGCUAGCUAGGCCUUUAUUGACGCUGAGGCACGAAAGCAUGGGGAGCGAACAGGAUUAGAUACCCUGGUAGUCC